CAAAAUUGAAGAGUUUGAUCCUGGCUCAGAUUGAACGCUGGCGGCAUGGCUAAAACAUGCAAGUCGAACGCGAAAGUACCUUCGGGUGCGAGUAGAGUGGCGAAAGGGCGAGGAAUACAUUCCCACGUACCCCAAGGUCAGGGAUAGCUCGGGGAAACCCGGAUUAAUACCUGAUGUGGUGCUUCGGCAUCAAAGGCUUGCCGCCUUGGGAGCGGGGAAUGUCCUAUCAGGUUGUUGGUGAGGUAACGGCUCACCAAGCCGAAGACGGGUAGCGGGUGUGAGAGCAUGACCCGCCGCAUCGGGACUGAGACACUGCCCGG
rnacentral:rRNA from 1 species